UCAUUGUUGAGCUUAGUGGCCUGCUGC
rnacentral:sRNA from 1 species